AAAAAAGGUAAGCUACUAAGAGCGAAUGGUGGAUGCCUUGACUGGUAAAGGCGAUGAAGGACGUACUAGACUGCGAUAAGCUACGGGGAGCUGUCAAGAAGCUUUGAUCCGUAGAUUUCCGAAUGGGGCAACCCAGUAUAUAGAGAUAUAUACUACCAUAAUGGAGCGAACGAGGGGAAUUGAAACAUCUUAGUACCCUCAGGAAAAGAAAUCAAUAGAGAUUAUGUCAGUAGCGGCGAGCGAAAGCGUAAGAGGGCAAACCCAGUGCUUGCACUGGGGGUUGUAGGACUGCAAUGUGCAAUAAGUAAGGUUAGUAGAACACUCUGGAAAGUGUAGCCAUAGAGGGUGAUAGUCCCGUAUACGAAAACCAAACUUUAGCUAGCAGUAUCCUGAGUAGGGCGAAACACGUGGAAUUUUGUCUGAAGCUGGGUCGACCACGAUCCAACCCUAAAUACUAAUACCAGAUCGAUAGUGCACAAGUACCGUGAGGGAAAGGUGAAAAGAACUGAGGUGAUCAGAGUGAAAUAGAACCUGAAACCAUUUGCUUACAAUCAUUCAGAGCACUAUGUAGCAAUACAGUGUGAUGGACUGCCUUUUGCAUAAUGAGCCUGCGAGUUGUGGUGUCUGGCAAGGUUAAGCACACGCGAAGCCGUAGCGAAAGCGAGUCUGAAUAGGGCGCUUAAGUCAGAUGCUGCAGACCCGAAACGAAGUGAUCUAUCCAUGAGCAAGUUGAAGCUAGUGUAAGAACUAGUGGAGGACUGAACCCAUAGGCGUUGAAAAGCCCCGGGAUGACUUGUGGAUAGGGGUGAAAGGCCAAUCAAACUUCGUGAUAGCUGGUUCUCUCCGAAAUAUAUUUAGGUAUAGCGUUGUGUCGUAGUAUAAGGGGGUAGAGCACUGAAUGGGCUAGGGCAUACACCAAUGUACCAAACCCUAUCAAACUCCGAAUACCUUAUAUGUAAUCACAGCAGUCAGGCGGCGAGUGAUAAAAUCCGUCGUCAAGAGGGAAACAACCCAGACUAUCAGCUAAGGUCCCCAAGUCUUACUUAAGUGGAAAACGAUGUGAAGUUACUUAAACAACCAGGAGGUUGGCUUAGAAGCAGCCAUCCUUUAAAGAAAGCGUAAUAGCUCACUGGUCUAGUGAUUUUGCGCGGAAAAUAUAACGGGGCUAAAGUAAGCACCGAAGCUAUAGACUUAGUUUUACUAAGUGGUAGGAGAGCGUUCUAUUUGCGUCGAAGGUAUACCGGUAAGGAGUGCUGGAGCGAAUAGAAGUGAGCAUGCAGGCAUGAGUAGCGAUAAUUAAUGUGAGAAUCAUUAACGCCGUAAACCCAAGGUUUCCUACGCGAUGCUCGUCAUCGUAGGGUUAGUCGGGUCCUAAGUCGAGUCCGAAAGGGGUAGACGAUGGCAAAUUGGUUAAU
rnacentral:rRNA from 1 species